UACGGAGGUCCCAAGCGUUAUCCGGAUUUAUUGGGUUUAAAGGGUGCGUAGGCGGGCUAUUAAGUCAGUGGUGAAAGCCCCCGGCCUAACCGGGGAACUGCCAUUGAUACUGAUGGUCUUGAGUACAUUUGAGGUGGGCGGAAUGUGUCAUGUAGCGGUGAAAUGCUUAGAUAUGACACAGAACACCGAUUGCGAAGGCAGCUCACUAAACUGUAACUGACGCUGAGGCACGAAAGCGUGGGGAGCAAACAGG
rnacentral:rRNA from 1 species